rnacentral:sRNA from 1 species
ACCAUAUAUAACAUGGCCUCCCCCUCACCAGGGGUACACUACAGACCAUAUAUAACAUGGCCUCCCCCUCACCAGGUGUACACUACAUACCAUAUAUAACAUGGCCUCCCCCUCACCAGGGGUACACUACAGACCAUAUAUAACAUGGCCUCCCCCUCACCAGGGGUACACUACAGACCAUAUAUAACAUGGCCUCCCCCUCACCAGGGGUACACUACAGAUCCUGUUUGACUCCUGUAUAACAAACCAUUAAACCAUACAACUACAGCAUGUUCUGUACCCAGAGUUAUCUCUCUUGUUUUAUUCAACCAAUUCAAACAUCAUCUUAUAGAAUUUGAAUUAUCCGAGAAGAACAUCUUAUGGUCUAUGAAUUCGUAUUUCAUGAUCAAAAUAUCUGUGUUAUUGACUAGCAUUAUGGAUUUUGUUAUCAAUAUUUUGUCAUUAACGGAUUAUUUUGAAACAACCCACAAUUUGUUUAGUCAAAGACUAUAUAAAUUAUUUAAUUUUGUAUCAACAAAAUCGUACAUUUUGUAAUUGCAAAUUUGCCAUAAAUAAAAUAACGACGAAAAAUGAUGCUGAGAUGUAGACAAUUAAUAUAUUCACUCUGACCUUAGCUAACGAUAGCGAUAAGAAAAUAUUCAGUCUGACCUUGGUUACAGCGGAUGAUAAUAUAUUCACUGACCUACGUCACAGUUACGAUUAUUUAUAUAUUCACUCUGACCUUAGCUAACAGUGACGAUUAUUAAUAUAUUCACUCUGACCUUAGCCAACAGUGACGAUUAUUAAAAUAGUCACUCUGACCGUAGCUAACAGUGACGAUUAUUAAUAAUUUCACUCUGACCUUAGCUAACAGUGAUGAUUAUUAAUAUAUUCUCUCUGACCUUAGCUUACAGUGACGAUUUCUAAUAUAUUCAUGCUGACCAUAGCUAACAAUGAUGAUUAUUAAUAUAUUCACUAUGACCUGUGACCUCUGCAGUGUACAUGUGUCGGCUUACUAUACCAUGUAUAUUACGUACUGUAUUUUUCCAUGUAUUACUGGAUGUGUGUGAUAGUCACAUAAAAUUUGCAUAUCAAGAGUCACUGAUCAUGACGCUUACAAAUAUGAAGUUUUAAUAACAGGUUCAAAUAAAUUUAAGUAC